rnacentral:rRNA from 1 species
GACAGAGGCCUCAAGCGUUAGGCGGAAUCACUGGGCUUAAAGCGUGUGUAGGCGGAUCGUUAAGUACCUUGUGAAAUCCCACGGCUCACCCGUGGAACUGCUGGGUAUACUGGCGGUCUUGGGCCAACUAGGGGCAGCUGGAACAAGCGGUGGAGCGGUGAAAUGCGUAGAUAUCGUUUGGAACGCCAAUGGUGAAAACAGGUAGCUGGGGGUGUGCUGACACUGAGACACGAAAGCCAGGGGAGCGAACGGG